UACAGAGGUCCCGAGCGUUGUUCGGAUUCACUGGGCGUAAAGGGUGCGUAGGUGGCUUGAAAAGUUUGAUGUGAAAGCUCAGGGCUUAACCCUGAAAUGGCAUUGAAAACUGUCGGGCUGGAGGUUUGGAGGGGGGACUGGAAUUCUUGGUGUAGCAGUGAAAUGCGUAGAUAUCAAGAGGAACACCAGUGGCGAAGGCGAGUCCCUGGACAACACCUGACACUGAGGCACGAAAGCUAGGGGAGCAAGACGG
rnacentral:rRNA from 1 species